rnacentral:rRNA from 1 species
UAACGGGCGAGUGAAGCGGCAAUAGCUCAAAUUUGAAAUCUGGCUCUCUUUGGGGGUCCGAGUUGUAAUUUGCAGAGGGUGCUUUGGCGUUGGUGGCGGUCUAAGUUCCUUGGAACAGGACAUCGCAGAGGGUGAGAAUCCCGUUUGUGGUCGCCUGCCUUCGCCGUGUAAAGCCCCUUCGACGAGUCGAGUUGUUUGGGAAUGCAGCUCUAAAUGGGAGGUAAAUUUCUUCUAAAGCUAAAUACUGGCCAGAGACCGAUAGCGCACAAGUAGAGUGAUCGAAAGAUGAAAAGCACUUUGGAAAGAGAGUCAAACAGCACGUGAAAUUGUUGAAAGGGAAGCGCUUGCAGCCAGACUUGCCCGUAGUUGCUCACCCAGGCUUUUGCCCGGGGCACUCUUCUGCGAGCAGGCCAGCAUCAGUUUGGGCGGUCGGAUAAAGGCCUCUGUCACGUAUCUUCCUUCGGGAUGACCUUAUAGGGGAGGCGACAUGCGACCAGCCCGGACUGAGGUCCGCGCUUCUGCUAGGAUGCUGGCGUAAUGGCUGUAAGCGGCCCGUCUUGAAACACGGACCCAAGGAG